GACAGGGGGUGCAAGCGUUGCUCGGAAUCACUGGGCGUAAAGCGCACGUAGGCGGUCGCGUAAGUCGGGUGUGAAAGCCCUCAGCCUAACUGAGGAACUGCGCCUGAUACUGCGUGGCUUGAGAACGGGAGGGGAGAGUGGAAUUCCUGGUGGAGCGGUGAAAUGCGUAGAUAUCAGGAGGAACACCAGUGGCGAAGGCGACUCUCUGGUCCGUUUCUGACGCUGAGGUGCGAGAGCUAGGGGAGCAAACGGG
rnacentral:rRNA from 1 species